rnacentral:tmRNA from 1 species
GGGGGCGUUCUUGGAUUCGACGGGGGUAGUUCGAGCAUGGGUUGCGGGUAGCAGGGAGUCGUCUGCUUCAUCAACGCUAAAGCCUAUUAAACGGCAAACAACAAUCUAACUACGCUUUAGCAGCCUAAGAAACUGUUGGCGUGCUUCUAUCCAGCAUCGUCCAUGUGACUGGAAUAGGGGCUAACAAGUAGUGGAAUACGCUGUCUCAUCUCCGCCUGGGGUGAGCUGAAGAAGAUAAUCAGGCUGACCUUAACGAUAGCCGGUUACGGGGCGAUCGCUAAGGUGACAUCAAAACUGUGACUACACCCGUAGAAGCACAUGUGCCGUUAUCUUCGGACAGGGGUUCAAAUCCCCUCGCCUCCAUAA